GAUGAACGCUAGCGGCAGGCUUAAUACAUGCAAGUCGAACGGUAAGGUCUCUUCGGAGAUACACGAGUGGCGCACGGGUGCGUAACGCGUAUGCAACCUACCUUUAACUGGGAAAUAGCCCCGAGAAAUCGGGAUUAAUGUCCCAUAUUAUUCUUUGAAUGCAUAUUCUUAGAAUGAAAGCUCCGGCGGUUAUUGAUGGGCAUGCGUGACAUUAGCUAGUUGGUGAGGUAACGGCCCACCAAGGCUACGAUGUCUAGGGGUCCUGAGAGGGUUAACCCCCACACUGGUACUGAGACACGGACCAGACUCCUACGGGAGGCAGCAGUAAGGAAUAUUGGGCAAUGGACGCAAGUCUGACCCAGCCAUGCCGCGUGAAGGAUGAAUGUCCUAUGGAUUGUAAACUUCUUUUAUGCAGGAAGAACAUCCCGGUCGAGAACCGGGGCUGAUGGUACUGUAUGAAUAAGCAUCGGCUAACUCCGUGCCAGCCGCCGCAGUAAGAC
rnacentral:rRNA from 1 species